AUUGAACGCUGGCGGAAUGCUUUACACAUGCAAGUCGAACGGCAGCACGGACUUCGGUCUGGUGGCGAGUGGCGAACGGGUGAGUAAUGUAUCGGAACGUGCCCAGUCGUGGGGGAUAACGUAGUGAAAAUUACGCUAAUACCGCAUACGAUCUAUGGAUGAAAGCGGGGGAUCGCAAGACCUCGCGCGAUUGGAGCGGCCGAUAUCAGAUUAGGUAGUUGGUGGGGUAAAGGCCCACCAAGCCAACGAUCUGUAGCUGGUCUGAGAGGACGGCCAGACACACGGGAACUGAGACACGGUCCAGACUCCUACGGGAGGCAGCAGUGGGGAAUUUUGGACAAUGGGCGAAAGCCUGAUCCAGCCAUUCCGCGUGCAGGAUGAAGGCCCUCGGGUUGUAAACUGCUUUUGUACAGAACGAAAAGGUUUCUACUAAUACUAGGAGCUCAUGACGGUACUGUAAGAAUAAGCACCGGCUAACUACGUGCCAGCAGCCGCCGUAA
rnacentral:rRNA from 1 species